rnacentral:tRNA from 1 species
CCUCCUGUAGUUUAAUGGAUAGAACGCGGGCUUGCGGAGCCCGUAAUACAGGUUCAAUUCCUGUCAGGAGGA